GGAUGUGAGGGUGAUCUGGCUGCGACAUCUGUCACCCCAUUGAUCGCCAGGGUUGAUUCUGCUGAUCUGGCUAGCUAGGCGGGUGUCCCCUUCCUCCCUCACCGCUCCAUGUGCGUCCCUCCCGAAGCUGCGUGCUCGGUCGAAGAGGACGACCAUCCCCGAUAGAGGAGGACCAUUCUUCGGUCAAGGGUAUACCAACAGCUGCGCUCCCCUGCUAGAACCUCCAAACAAGCUCUCAAGAAUAGUCUUUUUUUUUCCCACCAAGAAUUCUCUGAUAAGACUGUUGGAUGAAAUUAGUGAACAUUUUAUUUUGGUAUCUUAAAUAAAAUAUCUAAAA
rnacentral:snRNA from 1 species